AUUGAACGCUGGCGGCAGGCCUAACACAUGCCAGUCGAGAGGAGCGGCGGACGGGUGAGUAAUGACUAGGAAUCUGCCUGGUAGUGGGGGAUAACGUCCGGCAACGGGCGCUAAUACCGCAUACUAUCAGAUGAGCCUAGGUCGGAUUAGCUAGUGGGUGGGGAAAAGGCCUACAAAGGCGACGAUCCGUAACUGGUCUGCGAGGAUGAUCAGUCACACUGGCACUGAGACACGUUCCAGACUCCUACGGGAGGCAGCAGUGGGGACUAUUGGACAAUGGGCGAAAGCCUGAUCCAGCCCUGCCGCGUGUGUGAAGAGGGUCUUCGAGGUGUAAAGUACUUUCAGUCGGGGGGCGUGACCGACAGAAUAAGCACCGGCUAACUCCGUGCCAGCAGCCGCGGUAAUUC
rnacentral:rRNA from 1 species